UACGUAGGUGGCAAGCGUUGUCCGGAUUUACUGGGCGUAAAGGGCGUGCAGGCGGUUUGUCUAGUCUAGGGUGAAAGCUCCCGGCUUAACUGGGAGAGGUCCUUGGAUACUGGCAAACUUGAGGGAGGCAGAGGAAAGUGGAAUUCCCGGUGUAGUGGUGAUAUGCGUAGAUAUCGGGAGGAACACCAGUGGCGAAGGCGGCUUUCUGGGCCUUACCUGACACUGAGACGCGAAAGCGUGGGGAGCGAACCGG
rnacentral:rRNA from 1 species